rnacentral:rRNA from 1 species
CCAAUAGCGUAUAUUAAAGUUGUUGCGGUUAAAAAGCUCGUAGUUGGAUCUGUGUCCCGCACCGUCGGUUCACCGCCUGUCGGUGUUCAACUGGCGUGCAUGCGGGACGUCCUGCCGGUGGCGGUCCGGUUCCCCGGUGGUACGUAAAGGAUCGGCCCUGCGUCGGUCCCGAAGGCCAGCGUUGGGAUUCCGGCCGCCUUGUAUUCCCGUCGCGGUGCUCUUAAACGAGUGUCGAGGCGGGCCGGCACGUUUACUUUGAACAAAUUAGAGUGCUUUAAGCAGGCGCAGUGAUUUGCCUGAAUGUUGUGUGCAUGGAAUAAUGAAAUAGGACCUCGGUUCUAUUUUGUUGGUUUUCGGAAUCUGAGGUAAUGAUCAAUGGAGACAGGCGGGGGCAUUCGUAUUGCGACGUUAGAGGUGAAAUUCUUGGAUCGUCGCAAGACGGACUAAAGCGAAAGCAUUUGCCAAGUAUGUUCUCGUCGAUCAAGAACGAAAGUUAGAGGUUCGAAGGCGAUCAGAUACCGCCCUAGUUCUAACCAUAAACUAUGCCUGCCAGCGAUCCGCCGAUGUUCCUCCGAUGACACGGCGGGCAGCUUCCGGGAAACCAGAGCUUUUGGGUUCCGGGGGAAGUAUGGUUGCAAAGCUGAAACUUAAAGGAAUUGACGGAAGGGCACCACCAGGAGUGGAGCCUGCGGCUUAAUUUGACUCAACACGGGAAAACUCACCGGGCCCGGACACCGGAAGGAUUGACAGAUUGACAGCUCUUUCUUGAUUCGGUGGGUGGUGGUGCAUGGCCGUUCUUAGUUGGUGGAGCGAUUUGUCUGGUUAAUUCCGAUAACGAACGAGACUCUGACCUGCUAACUAGUCGAACACCGGAAUCCCGUGAGGGCUACCGGCGAACAUUAUUCUUCUUAGAGGGACAGGCGGCUUUCAGCCGCACGAGAUUGAGCAAUAACAGGUCUGUGAUGCCCUUAGAUGUCCUGGGCCGCACGCGCGCUACACUGAAGGGAUCAGCGUGUCGUCCUCGCCCGAGAGGGCCGGGCAAUCCGCUGAAACCCCUUCGUGCUGGGGAUCGGGCCUUGCAAUCGCGGCCCGUGAACGAGGAAUUCCCAGUAAUCGCGGGUCAUAAGCCCGAGGUGAUUACGUCCCUGCCCUUUGUACACACCGCCCGUCGCUACUACCGAUUGAACGAUUUAGCGAGGCCUUCGGACCGGACCACGGCCGCCGCUCGCCGCGGUGGCCGUAGGCCGCCUGGAAGAUGGCCGAACUUGAUCGUUU